CGAGAAAAUGGGACUUGUGGUGCCCUCGGUCGAUAGUUCGAACCUUUGGGAAGAGAGCCUCGUCGUUAUUAUUUGAAAGGGCCCGUUAGUUUAGUUUUGGUAGUCGAUCAAGUCAGACCGUGCGAAAAUCCGGGGUCCGAUCCACCCCAGUGUGACUACAGUCUCGGAAAAAACAGUUUUGGAGAAUUUUAUAUUUUUAUUUUUUUUUCUGAUAUUUAGUCACGAUGCCAUAUUUUCUGAGACCGAUAUUGAAGAAUAAAUUCCGAUCGGAGGUGAUGAUUCGGGUGACGAGAUGGACAUUAUAAUAAAAAUAAGAGAGGGACGGAUUGCUUUGACAUGCUAUGCCAUUCAUAGACAGUCAGUCGGUGAACGAGCCGAUGGCCGAUACGCAUAUUUUUUGGCAUACUCGACCAAGCUGCGACCGCACUUGGAGCAGCGAUAUGCGAUGACGACCCUUCGACGUGAUUUACGCAUUGGCAUACAUCAUAUUUUGGAGUUGCGAGAUAUCAUUAACAAUCAAGAAGAUCACCCAAAAUUUGAAAAAAAAAGAGCGGUGCGAGUUAUGUCCCCGAAGCAACGAUAAAAAAUCCAAAACACAGUGCCCGAGCUGUAAUCGCCUUAUGUGCGAUACACAUCGCCAUUACAUAUGCGUCAAAUGCGGUUUCGGGUACGAAUAAAAAAUUUGGCAAGCUUACAG